AAAAAAAGCCUCAGGCUCUCUGCAAAAUGCAAAGUACAGCUACUUAAACUUGAAGAGAUCUUCAGUGACUUCACCAUCAGAUGCCAGAGAGGAAACAAGAACAGGAUGAGGACAAGGUGGGUCACAUAGCUUGAUUUUA